AACACCGAGUAUCACGGAGGGCGGCUUCGAUGGCUCCUUUCCGCCCGCGGCCGCAUCAUCCGAUGAGCAGAGAUCCACCACGUCCGCGACCGCCGCCGCUCCUGGUGGCACCAUCAUCGCAGCGAAGCGGCGUCGCAGCACCUUCGCGAAGAUGAAGCGAUCCAUCACAAAAGGGCCGCGACUUCUCGGACGUCGUAUCAAGCACUUCUUGAAGGACGAUCUGUACAUCGACGUAAGUUACCAGGAGGCGCCGCCGAAGAUGGUGGCGCGGGAACUGGCCGCGCUAGAGGUUCUCUCGGUGUAUCACCGCUGGCUGCGCGGGGUGCAGGCGCUGCUCUCCAUCGCCGUUUUCAUGCUCUCGCUGCUGAGCAUUGGGAGCUCGGCGUUUCUGGUGAACUGCACCAUUUUUAUCGUCUCCCAGGCAGCCGCCCUCGUCAUAUGCAAAACGUACCAGGUCAAGGCACAGUUCUCUGGCGUGACAAACCUGCUGUUCGAGGGGCGCAACAUCUUCACCUCACCGUACUUCCUUCACAUGGUGGCCGAAAUCGUGCUGUGGAACAUCCAGACCCCGCCUUUUGUCUUCGUUGGCAAGCAGUUCUUCGAGCUGCUAAACUACUUCAUCUUCUUGCGCCUGUACUCCGUCAUCGUGUACCUGAACAACGCUAUGUACGUGCACCGAACCUUCUGCCGCGCCAUGUCCGCGAUCAGUGACCUGCCACUUUCCACCUCCUUUCUUAUUCGCACCGGGCUGCUCCACCAAAAGACGCGCGUCGUGGUGACGGUGGUGAUAUGUGCGUGGCUGACGGUCGGCUGCCUGUUCGCACGCACCCAGAACCUCUCCCUCGGUGAUGCCCUCUGGUUUUCCUUUCAGUCUCUGUCGACGCUGGGGUACGGCGACAUCACCCCCUCCACGCUUUCGGGCCGCGUCGUUGCCUUCAUCGCCUGGAUCUUGAGCUACGUCAUUAUGGCCUUCCUGAUCAUCACCAUGUACUCGCUGCUACAGGCGUCGGACCGCUCGCACAACAUGCAGACGUUAAUGGAGUGUCACGAUCUCGCACACAGUCUGCGAGGCCGCUCUGCCCGCGUCAUCCAGCUGGCGUGGCGGUUGCGCAAGGCUCGAAAGGUCGGGCCUCACGCGCCGUCCUUGAAGCAGAAGGUCUACACACUGGCUUUGUCGUGGCUUUUGACUGACAUGAUUUCCGCGGUGCGGCGCACACGGCAGCAGCUGAACGGUGCGGUGCGCUCGCUGAGCGAGACGAAUAUUCAUCCGCUUACAGGGCUGUCGGCGUACCAGUAUAAUGCAUACCUGCAACUCACGGAGAAGGCGGCGCGGCAGCUGCAGCGGGCAAAGGACGUGGAUCGCGUGCACCUCGCCCUGCGCGACCGUGACGUGCUAGCCUCAUCGCUAUCGCGGCGCGACAUCGAGACCAUUAUUGUUCUUCCAGGCGACUCGCUAGAGCCCAUCGGCACUGCGCUGCCGGUCGCCCUGACAAGCAGCAGCGGCACAGCGGCGUCAGUGGCAGAGAUGGCGGAGUGGAGGGACCGGGUGACGCAGCUGGAACAGAAGUGCGCGCGUCUGACAGAGGUGCUAGAGGCUAUCAGCGCUGUGGCCGAGACACAUCCCCCUAGCAUGGCUGUGUCCCAGAUGUGAUGCAGAUGGCUGAUGGUGCGAUCUAGUGCAGGAUCUGAGGAGGCGGAAGAAAGACGGCUGGUGUUGCUCAUCAACGGACUGAUCUUCUUCCCAUUUUCUUAGGCAAUGGUGCGGAUUUGAUGUGUCUUUCAGCCGCUCAGCUCUGUUCAUCUUGGACCCUUAGAGGUUUGGGCCUCGCCCGCGUUGCGCUUUCCUGGAUCCCACCCUCCCUUCUCACCUUCGCGCGAGGAGCCGCCACGUCGCUCCGACUGCGGCGCACUCUAUACGCAGAUGCAGGGAGCAAUAACGGCGGCACACAAGACACAUGUGCGUGCGUGCGUGCGUGCGAGGGAGCGCGUAUGUUGCGGUGUCUCUGCACUGUUGUCUGUGCGCUCUCUUUUCUCCCUUCCUCUAUAUAUGCAUAUAUAUAUAUAUAUAUGUACAUGUGUACACAUGUAGGCGUUAUCAGUGUUCGUUUGUUUGUUUUUUCGAAGGUGGGGGGAGGGGGGGCUUCAUCUCUGCCCGCUCCCCCUCCCCUCCCUCCCUCCCUCCUCAGCACACGUCGAAAGAAGGGGGUGGUGGUGAGGGGAAUGCCGUUGCAUUUUUUGUUGUUCUCUCAAGAGUAAAGAGUCAGGGGCAAAUGAUGGAGCAGCCGGUCCUGGCUGUGCUGGGAAGCUGUCUCUGGCGUGAGGAGGUUUGUGGUCUGUGUGCGCGCGUGUGUAUGUGUACAUCUUUAGCUGAUUUCGCUCUUCAGGUGCGUCGGGAAGGUACAGGACGGAUGUGCUGGCGUUGCGUGGAAUAUGACGGGCUUUGCCUUCGUCGCCUUUGGACGCAUGCUUUCUUGUUCCCCUGCGUGACGUGCAGCACAUAUCACGUUGCCGUCGUGGGGCAUUGCAGACAUGGAAGAAGUGUUUGCGUGAAGCGGGGUGUCAAAUGAAUAAGGGAAAGUCGUGUUCCUCUAGCGAGAGGGCUCUCGUGUGUGUGUGUGUGUGUGUGUCGCCUCCGUACAUCGCGUCUGAGACGAGCGUGAUGCAGUUUUCCCUCUUUCUUUUC
rnacentral:misc_RNA from 1 species